AGAGUUUGAUCCUGGCUCAGGAUGAACGCUAGCGGCAGGCUUAAUACAUGCAAGUCGAGGGGUAACAUGGUAGCAAUACUGAUGACGACCGGCAAACAGGUGCGGAACACGUACAGAACCUUCCUUUAAGCGGGGGAUAGCCCGGAGAAAUCCGGAUUAAUACCCCAUAGUAAUGUUGAGUGGCAUCACUCGAUAUUUAAAGAUUUAUCACUUAAAGAUGGCUGUGCGGCUGAUUAGGUAGUUGGUGUGGGUAACGGCCCACCAAGCCCUCGAUCAGUAACUGGUGUGAGAGCACGACCAGUCACACGGGCACUGAGACACGGGCCCGACUCCUACGGGAGGCAGCAGUAAGGAAUAUUGGUCAAUGGACGCAAGUCUGAACCAGCCAUGCCGCGUGAAGGAUGAAGGCCCUCUGGGUUGUAAACUUCUUUUAUCUGGGAAGAAAUGCAUGCUUUUUAGCGUGUUUGACGGUACCAGAGGAAUAAGCACCGGCUAACUCCGUGCCAGCAGCCGCGGUAAUACGGAGGGUGCAAGCGUUAUCCGGAUUCACUGGGUUUAAAGGGUGCGUAGGUGGGUUGGUAAGUCAGUGGUGAAAUCUCCGUGCUUAACAUGGAAACUGCCAUUGAUACUACUGGUCUUGAAUUUUCCGGAGGUAAGCGGAAUAUGUCAUGUAGCGGUGAAAUGCUUAGAUAUGACAUAGAACACCAAUUGCGAAGGCAGCUUACUACAGGGACAUUGACACUGAGGCACGAAAGCGUGGGGAUCAAACAGGAUUAGAUACCCUGGUAGUCC
rnacentral:rRNA from 1 species